rfam:Herbaspirillum sp. YR522 PMI40_contig_304.304, whole genome shotgun sequence.
UGUCUCCUCCACCCUCCUCAUUGGUGUGGAUUAAGCCCGGAACCUGAGUGUCCGGGUUUUUUUUG